UUUAAAGAAUGCUCUAAAAGUAUUUUAAUUAUUUAAUCAACGGCAAUGUGUGAAAAGCAUAUUAAAUAACACUUAACAUAUUUGAAUAUGUUAAAUAUUUAUUUUAUUUUACCAUGACAAACUUAUUACACUUACAUUUUAAAAAAUAAAUAAAUAAACGAAAUAGCGAUAAAAAAAAAAGGAAAUAAAAAAAAAAUACAAGACACUAUAAACUACUUGGUUUGUAGUGUUUUUCCUUUUUGGCAAUAAAUUAAAAAUUAAUAAUGAUAACUUAACUUAUAUUUAAAUUAAUAUGAUUAGAAAUUCGACAAAAACAGCGAUAUUCUUUUACUGCAAUAUUUUUUAAUAUUUUUCUUUUUCUUGAUUCCUUAAUAGUUAUCGUACAACGAUAAUGUUAAGACCUUAUCUUUACAUAAGACCUAAAGUUGUAAUAUUUUAUAAUUAGUAAUUUUAUAAUUAUAAUUUAUAACCAUAGUAAAAGUACCUAUAUGAUACAGUUUGUGACAUCAAAUUGUUGCCGGGAGGGGGAAAAUUAUAAUUAUAAUUGUAAAUUAUGUAAUUUCUAUUUUAUAUUUACAUAAUAAUAUUAGAUGGUAAGAUGUAAUCCUAUUGAUAAUUUUUUUUUUUUUUUUUUUAAUUAUAAAAUAUACGUACUAUAGAAAAAUUUCAAAAAAUGACUGUAACACACUCAAAAACAAAAUCAAAACGAAGGAAGAACACAAAAUCAUUACGAUAAACUAUACGAUUUUCUAAGUACUGAAUGUAUUAAAAUGUUUACAAAAAUGUUCGGUUAAGCAAAAAAAUGUAAUUAUAAAUUUGAUAUUUGUACAUACUAUUAAUAUUAUUAUUAAUGUAUAUCUAUGUAUAUGUACGUAUAGAAACAUACAUGCAAUUAAUUGUAUAAUUUUUUAUUUUUACAUAAUAAUCUAAAAGUAAAGUUAAUACUUUUAUUUAAUUUUAUGGUUUGUAUGAUCAUAAAUUAUUAUACACCUUGAUCAUUCAAGUUGAAAGAAAAAUUUAUUUCCAAACAAUUAACCAUGUGGUCGUCAUUAAUGUUCAAUGAACAUUCAUCUCAUACUCAAUGAAAUUUUUAUUAGAAAUACAUAGAUUUUUAGGAAAAAAUAUAUGCUUAUAAAAAUAUUAAAUCAUAAAACUAGCAAAGGUUUGUUUCUUGAUAAUUAUUCAGGUUGUAAGAAAAAAUGUCUGAAUCAGAUAGCUAACGAAAUAGAACACAACACAUGGUAUAGUAUACAGUGAAUUCAUAUAAAAAAAUCUUUUUUAGUGUUUGACCAAAAAUGCAUGUAUACAAAGAUAAAAUAAAUUAUUAGGUACAUUCCAAUGCAUUUCUGAAAGAUCUAAGCAUCACAUCUUCUGCAUGAUUGACAAAUGUCAAAUUAACAAUUAAAUUAUCAGAUUUAUUAAUAAAUGAAAUUCACCAAAAAUAUGGAGACUAAGUGUUAGCUAUACCAUACCAAAUUACUUUGAAAAUGAAAAUAUUACCACCACCAUUAUUAUCAAUAAGAAUUUUAAGAUACGCGUGAGAAUAUUCUAGUACAUCUAAACAAUGGUGUCGGUAAAUUUAUAUGGAGAAUUUAAUUAUUAUUUUAAUAAUUCGUGGACAUUUAAAGAUUUAAGUAAUUAAAUAAUAAUAAUCAUAAUCAUAAUCAUAAUAAUAAUAAUAAUAAUAAUAAUAAUAAUACAAAAUAAUGGCCACCAAUAGAUUUAUAGUGGCAAAACUUAAAGUUUUAUCAGAUUCAUAAUGCUAACGUAAUGGUUUUGUUUACAAAUUAACAAUAAUAUUAAUAUUAAUUAAAAUUAAUUCUAUUGAUGAAUGCAUGACAGUUUAAAAAUCAACUCACACGUAUGUUUUAAUAGGUAUAAAUGCUUUUAAAAAACUGGUUAUGUAAUAUAAAAAUGUGUAUAAUGUGUGCAUUAGAAUGUAAAAAAAAAAAAUAAUAAUAAUACAUUUUUUUUUUUUUUUAAUAUAUAUAUAUUAAAAGAAAAUUGUUUAUAAUGAAAACCAAAAUAUGUGUAUGAUCAGAGCACAACCCUCAUGAAGGCCGUCCGUGGUGUUACAAAACUUUUAAGGCAAAUCUAAGUAAUUUAAGAAGUUGAUCUUAAUGUUUUACCCAAAAUAUUUACUUAUAAAUUUAUACAUAACAUAAAAUAAUUAAAUAUAUAUGGGUAUCAGCAAAGAAAAACAGCUGAUCAUUGCAAUGGAAACAGACUGUCACUGAUCAACUUCUUUGUAUAAAUAACACCUGAUCAUUUUUAAAAACCAAUAAUGGUGUAAAAUCUAAAACUUUUCAGUGAAAAUAAUAUAUAGUUCAGAUUUAUUAAAUGAAAAAUGCACACAGUUCUGAUUAUAUAUUUUAACUAAGACUAAUAUUUAAUAUUAUACACAAGAUUUAAUUUACUAAUAUUUACAUAGAAAUGUAUAUAAAGUUGUUUUUUAUUGUUUUAAAAAUUAUUUUUAAUAUGAACACUCGUUAAAAAAACUUUUUAGGAAUAUAAUUUUUUUUUUUAGCAUUUUAUAUCUUUAAUAAAUACUGAUCUAUUCUAGUUUUAUGACUUAGAUAUAAAUAUUUAUACUUAUUUUAGUUUGUAUAUAUAUA